GACGAACGCUGGCGGCGUGCCUAAUACAUGCAAGUCGAACGCAUUUUCUUUCACCGUAGCUUGCUACACCGAAAGAAAAUGAGUGGCGAACGGGUGAGUAACACGUGGGUAACCUGCCCAUCAGCGGGGGAUAACACUUGGAAACAGGUGCUAAUACCGCAUAAUUCCAUUUACCGCAUGGUAAGUGGAUGAAAGGCGCUUUUGCGUCACUGAUGGAUGGACCCGCGGUGCAUUAGCUAGUUGGUGGGGUAACGGCCUACCAAGGCUGCGAUGCAUAGCCGACCUGAGAGGGUGAUCGGCCACACUGGGACUGAGACACGGCCCAGACUCCUACGGGAGGCAGCAGUAGGGAAUCUUCGGCAAUGGACGCAAGUCUGACCGAGCAACGCCGCGUGAGUGAAGAAGGUUUUCGGAUCGUAAAACUCUGCUGUUAGAGAAGAACAAGGAUGAGAGUGGAAAGUUCAUCCCUUGACGGUAUCUAACCAGAAAGCCACGGCUAACUACGUG
rnacentral:rRNA from 1 species